UCGCCUCCUCCACCACGUCGCUCAAAUCAUCGCAAAUUUAUGUACCCCGCCUCUCGCGUCACAGGCUCACAGCCGCCCCAGUCCCGCUGUUGUGCCCCGCUCACGAGCCGCAGCCGCCGAUCCCCGCACGCGACCCACCGCCGUCGCGCCCGUUCGCGAGCUGCUGCCCCUCCCCACCCCCACCCCCACCCCCCUCCCCGCCGUCCCGCAGACCGCGUCGCCGCCCCGCCCCUCCUCCGCCGCAGCCAGUCCAGGGGAGGCGUCGUCCCGGCGUCGGCACUGCUGCUGGAGUCCGUUGAGGUGGAGGCAGCAAGCGGGAAGGAGGAGAAGACUCCCAUGUCGUGCUCGAUCUUCUUCGACUCGGUCGUCGCCGACGGUCUACGGCGAGGUUGCAGUGCGACCACGAGUUCCGCCUCAGUAAAUGAUGGAUUCUGAAGGCAAGGAUCAACUGGUGGCUGACACUGAGCUAUACUAUGACAUGUUGAAAACUGUUGCAUAUCCUACAUUCACUAAUAUCCCAUCAGUGGAUUCCCUCAAGCAAAGCUGCCGGAUGAAGCCAUAUUAUCUGAGGCUGUUGAAUCUCAUCCUGUGCAAGAUUGGUUUAACACAACUGCUGGUGUUGGGGAUCCAGAUGCGCUCUUUCUGGCUUUGAAGUUCCAAGAAAUAAAUAAUGUUCAGAGGGACAUAUUUUGGAAGCUUCUGCCAUAUAAUAUUCAUUCAGUCCUGACAAUAUUUUCACCGAAGUGCAUCUUCUAUCUUUGUGCUGUCGAUGAAAAAAAGUAAAAAUAAUAUAAAUUUGCUUGCUUGGAUUGCUUAGGAGGAAUGAGUUGUUGCUUGCUGCUUUUGCAACAAAAAUAAGAAAAUCGGUCGGCUUGUGCACUGGCAUUCCGGUCCACUUCUUUCCCUUUCGGUGCCAUUAGGAUCCAACUGGUGAUGCAUUGCUUACCUCUCAAGUUGGAUCGAAUCGUUGAUGUAUGUUAUCAGAGCAGAAUUUUUCCACUGAAUGGAUUAUCAUUUGCCGAUACUGAAGAUUUAAAUUUACCGGAGACAAUCAACUAAAGAGUUAUGCAAUUUAAGCACCCAAGUUGAACUCAUUUAUGCUCCUGAAGAGGAGAUUUGGUCUGAUGUAUGAUUCUCAUUCUUGUAUUUACCUCUUGUUUGGCCAUAUUAUUUCAUCCUUUUGGGACUUUUGCUCA